GGGGAUAUGGUUUAGGGGUAUAACAUCUCAUUUGCAGUGCCACCUGGCAUUGGAAACUUGAGAAGGUCCGGGGUUCGAUUCCCCGUGUCUCCA
rnacentral:tRNA from 1 species